GACGAACGCUGGCGGCGUGCUUAACACAUGCAAGUCGAACGGAAAGGCCCUGCUUUUGUGGGGUGCUCGAGUGGCGAACGGGUGAGUAACACGUGAGUAACCUGCCCUUGACUUUGGGAUAACUUCAGGAAACUGGGGCUAAUACCGGAUAGGAGCUCCUGCUGCAUGGUGGGGGUUGGAAAGUUUCGGCGGUUGGGGAUGGACUCGCGGCUUAUCAGCUUGUUGGUGGGGUAGUGGCUUACCAAGGCUUUGACGGGUAGCCGGCCUGAGAGGGUGACCGGCCACAUUGGGACUGAGAUACGGCCCAGACUCCUACGGGAGGCAGCAGUGGGGAAUAUUGCACAAUGGGCGGAAGCCUGAUGCAGCAACGCCGCGUGCGGGAUGACGGCCUUCGGGUUGUAAACCGCUUUCGCCUGUGACGAAGCGUGAGUGACGGUAAUGGGUAAAGAAGCACCGGCUAACUACGUGCCAGCAGCCGCGGUGAUACGUAGGGUGCGAGCGUUGUCCGGAUUUAUUGGGCGUAAAGGGCUCGUAGGUGGUUGAUCGCGUCGGAAGUGUAAUCUUGGGGCUUAACCCUGAGCGUGCUUUCGAUACGGGUUGACUUGAGGAAGGUAGGGGAGAAUGGAAUUCCUGGUGGAGCGGUGGAAUGCGCAGAUAUCAGGAGGAACACCAGUGGCGAAGGCGGUUCUCUGGGCCUUUCCUGACGCUGAGGAGCGAAAGCGUGGGGAGCGAACAGGCUUAGAUACCCUGGUAGUCCACGCUGUAAACGGUGGGUACUAGGUGUGGGGUCCAUUCCACGGGUUCCGUGCCGUAGCUAACGCUUUAAGUACCCCGCCUGGGGAGUACGGCCGCAAGGCUAAAACUCAAAGGAAUUGACGGGGCCCCGCACAAGCGGCGGAGCAUGCGGAUUAAUUCGAUGCAACGCGUAGAACCUUACCUGGGUUUGACAUGGAUCGGGAGUGCUCAGAGAAGGGUGUGCCUCUUUUGGGGUCGGUACACAGGUGGUGCAUGGCUGUCGUCAGCUCGUGUCGUGAGAUGUUGGGUUAAGUCCCGCAACGAGCGCAACCCUUGUUCACUGUUGCCAGCACGUUAUGGUGGGGACUCAGUGGAGACCGCCGUGGUCAACUCGGAGGAAGGUGGGGAUGACGUCAAGUCAUCAUGCCCCUUAUGUCCAGGGCUUCACGCAUGCUACAAUGGCUGGUACAGAGAGUGGCGAGCCUGUGAGGGUGAGCGAAUCUCGGAAAGCCGGUCUCAGUUCGGAUUGGGGUCUGCAACUCGACCUCAUGAAGUCGGAGUCGCUAGUAAUCGCAGAUCAGCAACGCUGCGGUGAAUACGUUCCCGGGGCU
rnacentral:rRNA from 1 species